rnacentral:tRNA from 1 species
UGCAUCAGCCGGGAAUCGAACCCGCGUGGCAGGCGAGCAUUCUCGCCAUUGAACUACCAAUGC